AAGCCCCUUGAAGCAGGUCCUGUGGUAGGCCAGGCCAGUGCGUACUCACUGAAUAGCCUGUGCUCUCUUCAGAAGGUGCUGGACUCCAGGUGUUACGCUGCAGAUCUGUCCCAGCCUAAUGUAUAGGAAUGGCCUCUCUUUGGGUCACAGAUGCCCAGAGAAGGUGUUGUUCUCUGUGCAGCUAAGUGGAUAGGGCAGGAUGACAGAAAUGCUUGUUGCUUAGCAAUGCACAGCCCGCUGUCCUCACAAAGGGAGGGACUUCCCUACCUCAGAGAAGACUGGCAGUCAAGACCCUAGCAAGGGAGUGCCCGGGGUAGUGGUGGGGUGAGGGGAGGGCUGUGUUGCUUUUGCCUUGGGGACUUCAUGGACUCUGAGCCCUACCAGAUUCCUUUGGAGAUGAGACCUCACUUCCUGGAAAACAGAUGAGGUUUUUCAAAUCUUGACUAUUUUGCCAUCUCCAGAGAUAAUGAGGCUGUCUUACUGCUUCCGGUGUCCGCAGCAGGAACCUGAGCGCUGCCUCUGUGGUGAAUCUCAGUGAGAGCCAGAGGACUCAUCUGAUAUUUGUUUCUGAGCCAGAGACCCUUCUGAUCAGCCCACUGAAUUGCCAGCAUCUCUGACUAGUGAUUAACCAUUGACAUAUUGCAAGUACAACAAGUCUCAGCCAAGAUGCUGGCUGAGCUCUACCAGGGCAGUUCCCCAGGGAUGGAGGUCUCCAAACUCCGGGACGUGAGCUGCUCCUCUGGGAUGGCCUCUAUGAAGUUGGAAUCAAGAAGAUGAGAUUCUGCAGGCCCCCGUAGGCAGUGAAGAGCAGGAGGAAUCCACAAGAAACCACCAGAACAUUCUUCAGGCUCCUCUCCAUUAUGCCGACAGGUUGUUAGUACCAGUGGAUGUCAGAGAGACCAACUUCCCAGUGGCAGCAACACUACAGUGGGCUGAGCACUCCCACACUGGUCAUCCGUCAAGAUGAUACCCCACAGACCUGCCUCCGGGCCAAUCUUAUGACAGUUGAUAAACCAAGAAAACCACAACAGCCGGAUGAGUACCCACAUGGGGCAUGAGAGAAGCCAUGAUCUUACAGAUGAGCUCAGACAGGAGACCACUUAACAGAGAGCAAAUGAAGGACCAAGUGCUUCACAAGGACCUCAGGGAGAAAAUGCCCUUUAACCUUAGGACUCUGGCUCGUAUAACUAGCCAGCCAUUGGGGGACCACUGUUUUUGCCUCUGCCCAAAGCAGUGACUUUGAGAUUCGCAGGUCCCUUAAAUCAGUAAACUCCCUGCUGAGAUGCCUAAGCAAUAGCUUGCUUGCUCUUUUAGGGCAAGUGCCCAUGUGAGCAUGCUACUGUUAGUUUUCUUGGCAUUUAAAUAUGAAAUCUAAAAGCAGCACCAAA